GACGAACGCUGGCGGCGUGCCUAAUACAUGCAAGUCGAACGCAGUGGGGACGGGUGAGUAACACGUGGGUAACCUCCCAUCAGAGGGGAUAACACUUGGAAACAGGUGCUAAACCGAUACUGAUGGAUGGACCCGCGGUGCAUUAGCUCGUUGGUGAGGUAACGGCUCACCAAGGCCACGAUGCAGAGCGGCCCUGAGAUGGUGUUCGGCCAGACUGGGACGUAGACACGGCCCGCACCCCUACGGGAGGAAGCAGUAGGGAAUCUUCGGCAAUGGACGAAAGUCUGACCGAGCAACGCCCCGUGAGUGAAGCAGGUUUUCGGAUCGUCAAACUCUGUUGUUAGAGCAGCGGUAUCUAACCAGAAAGCCACGGCUAACUACGUGCCAGCAGCCGCGGUAAUAC
rnacentral:rRNA from 1 species